CGUCUCCACCUCUCCACCGCGCCAUCCUCUCCGCCCCCUUUCUCUCGCUCUCACGCGUCCCCGCCCCUCCCCAACCGCGCGCCGCUCCCCAACCCUAAUCUCUCCCUCUCACGCGGCACCACCGCCGUCGUUGCCGCCCUCGACUGCCGCAGCUCCGCCGUCGUCGCAUCCGUCGUCUCGCCGCCACCGAUCCCCGCGCCACCACCGUCGCCGCCGCCCUCGACUGCCGCCACUCCGCCGUCACCCAUCGUCGCAUCCGUCGUCGCCGCCGCCCUCGACUGCCGCCGCUCCGCCGUCGUCGCAUCCGUCGUCGCCGCCACCCUCGACUGCCGCCGCUCCGCCUUCGUCGCAUCCGUCGUCUCGCCGCCACCGAUCCCCGCCGCCGGCUCGCCCUCAACCAAUCCCCAUCACCGUCGUCGCAUCCGUCGUCGUCCAGGAUUUACGUCACCGUUCCGUCACCGCACCCACACGAUGAUCCCCGGCGACGGAACGGGUCAUGGUGGCCUUGGAGGAUACUCGGGCCCGACGAGCUCUCGGCGUCUCAGGUAAUGUCGCCGAAGACAAGAACUCCGGUCAAGCUCCUCGGCCGUGAGGACGCAAGCGUGAUUGAAUGUUCUGUGGAUUGGAUUGGGAGUUGUUUGCUCAAGGAGCAAUUAGGGAAUAUUUUAGUUGGUUGCGGCUGCAAAUACCAUCAGAACAACAAUGGAGUAUUUAACAAGAGCCAACAGCCUUUUGUUUCAGAUGAAUUCCCUCUGAAGUCACCCGUCAAUUGACUAAUGUUAGACAAUCUACCAUCUAGAGGAGAUCAUUCCUGAACCCAAUAUGGUGAUAAGCCGCCUCUGUUGAUGUGUUACACUCAUUGUUACUUGUUCUGAGGUGUACACCUUGCUUGCUAUAUUGGAAGAAUGAAUUUAAUUCACAUGGAUAUAAUAUUUUGCAAUUUUUGUAUAUGAAAUUAUAUGCAUGUUCUUGUGAUGUGAGAAGGUUAAAUUCCUUUGUGGGAUGCCCAUUUAAUUUCUGGUUGCUAAUUUUACUGAAGAAUGAGAGUAGGUUAUGAUGUCUUGGGUUUUGAUAAGUAGGGUGUAAAUUUUUAUAGUACAAUAAACAUGCGUGCUGGUCAUUCUGUUAUGUGGGAUUGAAACAAGUGAUGCUGGCAAUUCAGGUGCAGACCAGCUUUUGGUUCUGUAAAUUAUUUUCUCAAUUUAAAUAGAUCAUGUAUUGUGAUGAUGCGAAUAUAAUAUUAUGAUGUUAUCAUGUGUUCAACAGAGCUUAAAAAAUACUCACAAACUGGAUUCUCGUAGUUAUACAGUUUAAAUAAGUUAUAAGCACGAUUUGGGUUUGAUGUCUUCCAUUUGAUUUUUAGCGCUCCUCCCUCUUGCUCCGAUCUGGCCUUAGUGAUGCCGCCCUGUUUUCGCGGUUGAUCCCGGCACCAGCCCCUUCCUCUGGCCGCGUGCGAGUUCGAGAUUCCAAGUCCCGGUGGUCGGAUUUCUCAACCCCGGCACUGGCCUCGCACAGGCUGCGAUCCGCUCGCCAACAAGGUAAGUCAUUAUUGGGAUGUUUAUAUCUGAAAAUUUAGAUAAUUUCUUUUGAACUUCAUUGCUUGGUCAACAACAUAACCCAGGAAACCAAUUAAAUUGAUAGACAUGUUGUGUGCUCUCUUAAGAGAUCAACAUCCAAAUUGACAUCCAAGUUAAAAGAAGAAUUUAAUUAUCUAAAUCAUGAUGCCAAUAUUGAGAGCUUCUUUUACUUUCCGUUGUAUACAUUUUCUGUGAUGUGUACCGAAGGUUAUAUACAUAAUGAGAUUUUACUUCAAUGGUGGAAUUGUGCUCUAUUGAACCACAUGGAAAGUUCUGAUUUGUGCAGUGAUAAUUUUUCCCUUUAAAAAGUCAAAUUUGGUUUACAUUUUUAUUCAUGACACCUGAAUAUGUAGAAUGCCAUGCAUUAGUAAUGUGCAAGCACUUUCAAUGUAUUGUCUAAACUCUAAAGGAACAACUUACCAGUUUAUUAGUGAAUUUAUGAAAAAAAAAUCAGAUGUUUAAUGUCUGAAUAAAUUCAGAUUCUCUUCUCUGCUUCAUGCCUUCAUCAGGAUGAGGUAGUUAGUGUUGUACUGUAGUUGACGAAUCGAUUUGUUCGCAUCGUGAUAAGGCGCAGAAGGUAAGGCGGAAAUUGCCUUGGUUUAUCCUCUCCCCCUAAAUUUCCUCUGCUGCGAUUGGUUGAUUGGUUAAUGAAAAACCCAAUACUUGCAAGCAGAUUCUGAUUAGAUUCUUAAUUAUUGGGAUUUUCUAGAGUUAGUUUAAGGAAAAGUGAGUUAAUUAUCGACGAUGAAAUAUACACUUCCAUGAUUAGAAUUAUAUAUCGUAUAGACAAAUAUGUGUAUGUAUUAAAAAUAUCUGACAAAUUGGACUGUAUGAUUAUAAUGCCUUUCAACCAUUGCUUUGUGCAAUGCUCAUUAUAUCUCCCGGAAAUUAAUCGAUUUCUGCUUUUGUACCAUGUGCAAUGUUUACUUUUAAACUGCUCAGGUUCAUUCUAUCUUAUUUUCUGGUGCUUCUGAAGCGAUGUAUAUUUCUUCAUUUUUAAACUGCUCAGGUUCAUGAAUGCCACCAUCACUGAAUGCACAUCUGGUCCUCCCUUAUUUUCGUUCGUAUGUAGUAUGUACGUAAGAACUAACAAGUUUAUUCAUUCAAAGAAAAACUAACAAGUUUAUGUUAAGCUUCCUUUUUAAUAAUAUUUUACAUUACUGAUAUUUAGUGCAGUGAAAAAUGCUGCAAAUCUCUGAUAUUUAGUGCAGUGCAAAAAUGAUACAUAGCUUGAUUGGAUGCUCUUUCUCAUUAUGGCCAACUGCUUGAUGGAAUUUUUUCCAUGUGAAAACAAAUGUUUACUCUGUUUCAGGCUUGUGUAGAGAAGAAAAGGUGGAAUUGUGGAAGGUAAUCGCGGGGAGUUUUGGUUCAUUUUUUGAAGAUUUCUCUAAUUGGUACGUACUAAUUAACCAAUUGGAGUUUUGGUCUCGUUACUCACUGUAAAAACAUGAUGGUAAAAAAACAGUUUAAUCCUAUUGGUACUCUUUUAUCCCAUUGAACAUUUUGUCGUUGUGUCAUUGACUACUAUCAAAAAGGAAAAACAGUGGAUGACUCUUUCAGGAAAUAUAGGAUAGCCCCAUUGAUGGCACAUUUUGAACCGUUCAUGAUCCCUGAUUUAUUCUCUUGACCAUAUUCUGCACUGCUAUGCUUGCUAAGUAAUACAAAUAUAUUUAUAUCCCUGUAGCAUGUCAGUUACUCUAUAAGACAAUUUUUUUUACAUAACUAAUUAACAUUUUUACUAAACUCUUUUAUUUUGACAAUCACUCUAAGACGUAUGCAAUUGCGUCUUACGAAAGCAAGUGACCCUGAGAGCACUGAUCUUUGUAAAGAUGCACACAGCUUACUGCAGGAGAGGAUAACAAAAUAGAAGUCUAUAAAAAUCUAUAGAAGGGAUCAAAUAUGCUUGACUGAAUGAUAGAGAUGGAAAAAUGAAGAAGUGAUGACUGUUGUUUCACAAUGUAUUCAUUUCAUCUAUCCUAUAAUUGUAGUGGUGUGUCAAUGUGUGAUACUUCUAGAUUUUCCCAGCUCCAUUUUGCCAGCUCCGUGUGUGUUAAUGAUUCAGAAGUCGUGGAAUUGCUUGGAACAUGUAAUUUAUUCUCAACCAUUUUUUGUGGAAGUGUGGAUGUGCAUUGUCUAAUAUAUUGGUAUUGAAGUGAUUAAAUAUGAUUAUUGAUGGUUUUGAAUUAA